UCAAUUGAUGCGGACACAAUUUGUGGACUACAAGUAUUGAGACCAGAAGUUCUAGUAAGUGGACACCAUCUUUUUUUCUAUUUUUUAAUUUUUUUCUUUUUCUUUUCCUUUAUGGAUGGGCAACCAUAUUUUUUUUUGUUUUUUUGUGUGGAUAACCUUCUUUUUCUAUAAUUCUUACUAUUUUUUUCUUCACUUCUCUUUUUUUU
rnacentral:lncRNA from 1 species